GUCAAAGCCUCCGAUGGGAAGCAUAAUGAUGCUCUUGCCUGUUACAUCCUGAAAUGUUCUGGCAACGGGAAUCGUGCCUCCCUCACGGAUUAAGUCAGGCUCUACGUCAAAAACUGCAGGAGAGAGGUACCUGGCGAAUAGAGAACUUAGCUAUGACUUUGGCCGGUAUGACAGUCUUGGAGCCUGAUGAAGAGAAAGCGCCCUCAAUGCCAUGGAUAGAGACAGUUGGGUAACGCCAACGAUGGUUAUCCUCAUCAGGAUUGACGUUCUGGCACAAAAUAUCUGUCAAAGCAGACAACAGCAGAAGAAUCAGCAUGAAGAUCUUCAUGAUGCGCUGAUGUCUUUGCAGUGAGCUUGAUGAAGUUCAGUUGAUGGAUAACCAGUGACCAGACCAAAUCACUCUGAUGACAAACUCUUAGGCUGUUCUA